rnacentral:tRNA from 1 species
GCCCCGGUGAUGAAAUUGGUAGACAUGAGGGACUUAAAAUCCCUUGGCUUCGGCCGUGCCGGUUCGACUCCGGCCCGGGGCACCA